rnacentral:lncRNA from 1 species
AAAAUUAUGGGAAUAAAGUCUGUUAAUGGGUUGGACAAUUGAAAUUGUGUCAGUUAAGAGUUAUUUAGCCACGAAAAUAAUUUUGCUACCUUUAUAUUUUCCCCUUGAAAAUUUUAAGAAUGAGAUGUUCCUGAGUAAACAAAAAUGACAAUACGGUGCCACAGUAUCCUAGAAAGAGCAUUUUUAUUUUGACUUUCUUUGCAUUUUAUUGAAGGGUGUGUCACUUCAAUAUAGCGUGAUAUGGAUUGGCCUCUGGAAUAUGCAUGAAUUUUUUAUUGACGUUUUCAAUCAUCCUUAAUUUUUGUGUCUGUUCGAAGUAGCACGUUCUCAAUUCCGACUGAAAGUGUCUUUCUAAUACAACACAGGGUACAUAUAACGUGUUCUCGUUCACAUAUGAACAUGAUAUUUGUCACUGGACGUUAAACCCUAAUUCGUCAGCAUCAUCUAAUUGGUUCUUUUCUUCUAUUACUUAAUCAUAUGUUGUUUACAAAUCACUCUAAAGAAGUAAACGGAAAGGAGCGAAUGCAGCUACAUUUGGUUAUUUUAAGUUUCAAUUCAUUUUAUUCCGUUUAGUUCCUUUCUACAUAAGUGCAGAGGAGAACUACAGUUGUCUAUGGUGGCCGGUGAAGUCCAUUUCGCGUUUUCGCGAUUUCGCCUUUCAUAUUCUAUAGGGCGAAAACGCGAAAUCGCGAAAAGGCGAAAUCGCGAAGUCGAAAACGCGAAAACGCGAAAUCGAAAACGAGAAAUCGGUUUCGCGUUUUCGCGUUUUCGACUUCGCAAUUUCGCGUUUUUCGCCAUAUAGAAUAUGUAAGGCGAAAACGCUAAAGCGCUAAAACGCAAAAUGGCAUUAACCUGCCACCAUAGUUGUCCGCAUGUAAACUUCUAGAAUUUGUCACCAAUAUAAGUACAUCGCAAUCCGUUACUGUUUCAACAGCCAUCGGUGUUUCAUGUGUGUAUUCUUAAACAAGUAUUAUUUUUCUCUCGUUUUUAGC